GAUGAAGAACGUAGCGAAAUGCGAUAAGUGAUGUGAAUUGCAGAAUUCAGUGAAUCAUCGAAUCUUUGAACGCACCUUGCGCCUUUUGGUAUUCCGAAAGGCACACCUGUUUGAGCGUCAUGAAUACCUCAAUCUCCAUCUUUUCUUCGGAUUGAUGGGUGACUUGGAUGUUGAGCCCUGCUGGUAUGCUAUAUCAGCUGGCUUUAAACUUAUUAGCCGGCUCUGUACUGGAUCGGUUUGACUCGACGUGAUAAUAUUAUCGUUGAGGAUGCAUGUCUCAUGCAGCCGGAAAGUAUCAAAGCAGCUUCUAGCUUGCCUUUAGUGCACUUUUACAUUUUAGACCUCAGAUCAGGUGGGACUACCCGCUGAACUUAAGCAUAUCAAUAAGCGGAGGA
rnacentral:misc_RNA from 1 species